UACGAAGGGGGCUAGCGUUGUUCGGAAUUACUGGGCGUAAAGCGCGCGCAGGCGGCUAUCCAAGUCCGUGGUGAAAGCCCGGAGCUCAACUCCGGAACUGCCAUUGAAACUGUUUAGCUUGAGGAUGAGAGAGGUGAGUGGAAUUCCCAGUGUAGAGGUGAAAUUCGUAGAUAUUGGGAAGAACACCGGUGGCGAAGGCGGCUCACUGGCUCAUUACUGACGCUCAGGCGCGAUAGCGUGGGGAUCAAACAGG
rnacentral:rRNA from 1 species